UACAGAGGUCUCAACCGUUGUUCGGAUUCAUUGGGCGUAAAGGGUGCGUAGGCGGCGGGGUAAGUCAGGUGUGAAAUCUCGGGGCUCAACCCCGAAACUGCACUUGAUACUGCCUCGCUUGAGUACUGGAGAGGAGACUGGAAUUUACGGUGUAGCAGUGAAAUGCGUAGAUAUCAGGAGGAACACCGGUGGCGAAGGCGGGUCUCUGGGCCGAUACUGACGCUGAGGAGCGAAAGCGUGGGGAGCGAACAGG
rnacentral:rRNA from 1 species